rnacentral:rRNA from 1 species
GACGAACGCUGGCGGCGUGCUUAACACAUGCAAGUCGAACGGAAAGGCCCUGCUUUUGUGGGGUGCUCGAGUGGCGAACGGGUGAGUAACACGUGAGUAACCUGCCCUUGACUUUGGGAUAACUUCAGGAAACUGGGGCUAAUACCGGAUAGGAGCUCCUGCUGCAUGGUGGGGGUUGGAAAGUUUCGGCGGUUGGGGAUGGACUCGCGGCUUAUCAGCUUGUUGGUGGGGUAGUGGCCUACCCAGGCUUUGACGGGUAGCCGGCCUGAGAGGGUGACCGGCCACAUUGGGACUGAGAGACGGCGCAGACUCCUACGGGAGGCAGCAGUGGGGAAUAUUGCACAAUGGGCGGAAGCCUGAUGCAGCAACGCCGCGUGCGGGAUGACGGCCUUCGGGUUGUAAACCGCUUUCGCCUGUGACGAAGCGUGAGUGACGGUAAUGGGUAAAGAAGCACCGGCUAACUACGUG